rnacentral:rRNA from 1 species
AUGGACGCCAUUGAGGAGUGCAGCAGGGGCAGCAGCCAUGGGCGGCGGCCGCAGCUGCAGCUUGGCUCGAGGAUACUGGUCGGCGUGCCCAACAACUCCCGGGGAUGCUCCGAGCUGCUGUCGUGGGCGAUCAGGGUCGUCGCCAAGCCCAACGAUUCCGUCGUCGCCGUCCAUGUCCUUGGAGGGAGGGGGAGGAAGAACAGGCUCCAGAAGGCGAACGCCUUCGUCAUCUACAUGCUCGGGGAGUUGGUGGAGACAUGCGAGGCUAAACAGGUCAAUUUGGAGGCCAAGGUGAUCUGCAGCUCAAGCAUUCCAAGAGCCCUGGCCCGGGAAGCUGAACAGACUGAUGCAAAGUUUCUAGUCGUUGGAAGAUCAAGAAGUAAAUAUCACAGGAAUCACUUUGAGGUUGCAAACUACUGCUUCAUGCACGCUCCGAACAGCUGCUCGGUGAUCGCGGUCGGAAGGGAAGGCCUGGCACAGACCCAGAGCAGCAACCGACUCAAGUCCCAGUCAUUUGAUGAAGCUCAAACUGCAGGCAGCAGCAACAUCUCCUCAAGUUCAACAUGGAGCAGAAAAUUAACAAAACUACUUCGAUCAAGCUCGAUACGCAAGCAGGCUGACGGCGACGAGGAAGACAAGAGCUCGCCGAGGGCGGUUCUUGAUGGACCAGAGGGAGGGGAACCCCUGCAGGUCACUGAAGAGUGCUACAACAGCACAUGUAGCAAUGACACGAUGAGCCGGCGUGGCCACAGUGGCAUAUGGAGACGGCUGUCGGACAUGAAGCUCUGGCUUCCGUUCCUGCGAACCGUCGACGACGAAGGCGCGAAAGCCGGCGACGGCUGCUCCACGUUCUCCGAGGAUCAGAAACCUGCCUGGAAGUGCUACAGUUACCAAGAGAUUUCAGUUGCUACAGACGACUUCAGUCCAGAUAAUAUAGUGGGGAGAGGGGGCUAUGCAGAAGUGUACAAGGGCGUACUGUCUGACGGCCAAUGCAUAGCAGUGAAGAGGCUGGCCAAGGGCAAGCCCACUGAGCAGAAGGAGAAGGAGUUCCUGUCGGAGCUAGGGAUCCAGGUGCAUGUCUGCCACCCGAACACGGCCGACCUGCUCGGAUGCUGCGUCGAGAACGGGCUCUACCUGGUCUUCGAGCUCUGCGCGAACGGGACGCUCGCAUCGGCGCUCCACGGGAACAGUGGGAAGGUCCUUGAGUGGCCUCUGCGGCAGAAGAUCGCGGUGGGUGUCGCGAGGGGUUUGCAGUAUCUGCACAUGUUCUGCAGGCACCGGAUCAUCCACCGCGACAUCAAGGCCGCUAAUAUCCUCCUCGGCGAUGAUUCUGAACCUCAGAUUUCUGACUUUGGGCUGGCAAAGUGGCUUCCAAAACAAUGGACCCAUCACUCUGUCGUACCCAUAGAGGGCACAUUUGGGUAUUUGGCGCCAGAAUACUUCAUGCACGGCAUCGUCGAUGAAAAGACAGAUAUAUUUGCCUUCGGAGUUCUUCUGCUAGAGAUCGUCACCGGAAGGCGGCCCAUCGACUGCUCCAAGCAGAGUCUUCUUCAGUGGGCAAAACCUCUUCUGGAGGCCGGGCAAGCGAUCGAGCUUGCAGACCCUGAACUCGGCGAUGACUACGACAAGGACCAGCUGAAGAGGAUGGUCACCGUCGCGUCACGCUGCAUCAUGCGGCCCGCAAUGUGGCGGCCAUCGGUGUCGGAGGUGCUGCACUUGCUGUCUACCAACGAUGAGUGCUUGGAGGAGCCUGAGAAAUGGAACAUUCCGGAGGACGAGGUCAACGACAUGGAUGAUUGCACGUUAUUUUCUGAAUCUUGCUCUCUGUGA